AGUAUAAGGGUGCCCAUCCCUGUACAUGGUGUCACGCUUGGGUCACAGAUUUGCACUGAGUCCCAGGAGGUCAUAGAAACAAGAAGGAUUUUAAUUCAAACACUGCAAACAAACAUUUGUCUCUUCAAACUUGCUCCUUGACAGAGGUGACAGUUUCGUCUAUCAAUUAAAGGGUUGUGUGUGAUCUGCCCUGCCCCCUGUAGGUGAAAUAUAAGAAGAUGGGACCACCUUAUUAUGCAGCCAAGGUUCCUGUCUCCAGCAAUAUUCAAGAUGAAGUUUUAGAAUGUUUCAACAUUGCUGGUUGAACAUCAAGAAGAAGGCCCCUUUCAUGGACUGUUCAAUCUCUUGCCGUCUGGUAGAAGAUAUCACUCCGUAAAAUCAAGAACAGCCAAGAAUGAGCAACAGCUUCUUUCAGCAGACACUUUCCCUCAACCUUGACGAGUCUCCAACUUCCUGACACAAAAACAAACACAAAGCAUGAAGCUACCAUCACCAGACUUCACUGCUGGAACGUGAUAAGCGGUGCCUGGUUUCCUCCAGACAUGGCGUUUGGAAUUGAGGCCAAAUCUUGGUUUCAUCCAUCAAGAGAACCUUGUUUCUCACAGUCCGAGAGUCCUUCAGGUGCCUUUUUGCAAAGUUCCAGCAGACUUUCAUGUAUUGCCUGGCCACACAGCCUUAAAGCACAAAUUAAUGUAGUGCUGCAGUAAUGGUUGUAUUUCUGGAAGUGUCUCCCAUCUCCAAACAGGUUCUUUCAAGCUCAGCCAAAGUGACCAUUGGGUUCUUGGUCACUUCUCUUAACAGGGUUCUUCUCUCACAAUUACUCAGUUUGGCCAGGUGGUCUGCUCUAGGAAGAGCUAUGGCUGUUUCAAACGUAUUCAUCUUAAGAAUUCUGGAGGUUGCUGUGCUCUUCUGAACCUUCUUUGCUUCCUUCUCCACAUCUGUGCUAUGACACAACCCUGUCUCUAAGCUCUGAAGGCAGUUCCUUUGUCCUCAUGGCUUGUUUUUUUUUUUCUUUCUCGUUCUUUUCUCAUUGUCAACUGUAGGACCUUCCAUAAAUAGGUGUGUGUGCUUUUCCUAGUCAAUUGAAUUGACUGGAGCAGGACACCAAACCAGUUAUAGAAACAUCUCAAUGGUCCUCAACAGAGUGGGAUACACCAUUCACAGCAAAGUCUCUGAAUACUGGCGUCAAUGUCAUAUUUCAGUUUUUUUACUUAUUUUUUUUAAUUUGAAAAAAUUCCUAAAACCCUGUUUUCGCUUUGCCAUUCUGGGGAAUUAAGUUUUGUUUCAUGAAGGAAAAAAAAUGAAUGUUAAACGUUGAAAGGCUGCAACAUAAUAAAUGUGAAACUGUGAAGGGGUGUGAAUACUCUCUGAUUGCACUGUAUUUACAUACAUAUAUCGGUUGCAUACACAUACAUGUACAGACACACUCCAAACACUCCUCCCAAAUACCCCAAAGCAGUGGGAGUGUGUGUGAGUGGGACCUCUAAUAGACUUGGCAAUUUAUUUUUAUUUUCUUUGCUUUGGAUGUCAUUUGCCUUCCGUUGGGUAA